rnacentral:misc_RNA from 1 species
AAGUCGUAACAAGGUUUCCGUAGGUGAACCUGCGGAAGGAUCAUUACCGAAACGAAGACUUGGUUGGCAUGCAUCCGCUGUGUGCGUGCGACCAGUCUGAGUUAAGCAGUUCAACUGUGCACUUGUUUUCAACUCUCCCUGCUCGGUACAUGAAUUGAAGAGAAUUUAGUAAUGUUGAGGAGUCUCUCGGGACUCAGCUAUCUUCUCUAACUUGACUUCGGUCAGACAAUUGUAGUACUGCGGUCAGGCAACCUUCUGCUUACAACCUUCUCUCAUCUGAAGGGAGUAGUGGAAUUAAACACACAUUUCACCCUAUUUUUGCUAGUUGACUUUUAUAUGUUGUCUUAUUCGAUACUUCGGUAUUGCGUAAUUCACACGUUUAUUAUUUGAACGUUAAAUUUACAACUCUUAGCAAUGGAUAUCUUGGUUCUC